UACGGGGGGGGCAAGCGUUGUUCGGAAUUACUGGGCGUAAAGGGCUCGUAGGCGGCCAACUAAGUCAGACGUGAAAUCCCCAGGCUCAACCUGGGAACUGCGUCUGAUACUGGAUGGCUUGAAUUCGGGAGAGGGAUGCAGAAUUCCAGGUGUAGCGGUGAAAUGCGUAGAUAUCAGGAGGAACACCGGUGGCGAAGGCGGGUCUCUGGGCCGAUACUGACGCUGAGGAGCGAAAGCGUGGGGAGCGAACAGG
rnacentral:rRNA from 1 species